rnacentral:lncRNA from 1 species
CUACACCACACACACACACGCACGCACGCACACACACGCACGCACGCGCACACACACACGCGCACACACACGCACACGCCCGCGCACACACUCUCUCACACACACACAGAGAUUGGAGAGAGACAGGAGAGAGACAUGUUUUCAUCUAUCCUUUGUGGACUUCUGUUGUUUUUACUGCUGUGAAAUUUGACUUGCGAUAUCUGCUUGUAAAACAUCAUCAAAUCCAAAUUCAUUAUAUUCCACUUUUUCUAUUACAUGGUUUCUGCUUCACUGAUUCAUAUCUGUUUUACCUAUUCUGUAAGGGAGGAGAAGCUGCGUUAGGUUUCAUCUCUUGUUUAAGUUCAGUUUAAUAAAUAGUAGAUAAUGCCUCUUCUCUUUUUUCCUUUUGAAGAGGAGAAAAAGGAAAGAAUUGUAGUUGAUUCUUAUGUAGCAACUUAUUCAUUCAUUCAGUAGCUAUAGAAGCGAAUUGUUUUGUAGGUAAUUAUUAACGAUGCUUUGGAUAAUUCCCUAGCUAACUAUUCCUUCUUUUCCAUCCCAGAAAGCAAUGAAGAGAAAAGCUGAAGUCAGUGAUUAGGAGUGUCUGUGUAAGUAAAAGCAACAGGCAAUUACUGAGUGUGGUGUGAGAGGCACGGAAAGAUUGGGAAUUCAGCAAGAAGAGGAAUUGAAGUCAAACCUCACCUACUUCCCAGAGUCUUCUGGAUUUUCUGUUAGAAGCUUCAGUAUCUGAGAUAUUCCUAUGCAUUCUACUGCUUUAAUCCCACCUAAGUAGAGAUGUCCACAACAGAGAGAAUGGAGCUGUCACAUCGUUUCAACUGCCCAGGUAGUUCCUACUGGAUGAAUGGGAUUGUCACCUUCACACCUGCUAGAGGCUUGGAGCAUGCAAGAGUUUUUUUAAAUGGCUUCACCUUUCUUAUGAAAAUGCAACCACUAGUACUCUUCCAAUAAAAGCUUUUCUCAAGUGAAAGGACUCAGGCAACAAAUAAACAGCUAAGAUUUUACUAGAGUAUGAAAGGGAGAGCACUGGAGUGCAGUGCGGGGAUGGAGAUGCAGCUGUGGUGGCUGGAAGUACAGGAGGGCAGCUGGAGGCACCUGGCCUCUGAAGCCUGUCUUCUUCAUCUGGGUGAGAUCUGCUGGAGUCAGGAAGGACUUCCUGCUGCAAGGAUAAAGGUAAGCAGAAGAUCUCCACCAGUGCCCACUGCCAUCACAAACACCUACAAUCCUUAUAGCAGGUGAAUCCAGCAGUCCUCACAAGUCCUGAGACAGGUUUGGAGUCUUGCUGGGAAUUCACACAGCUGCAUUGUCCUAGAUUAGGAGAACAAGGUGUGGACCCCCAACCCUCUAUUCAUCCCCUGUGAGCCAUGGUGCUAUAGCAUGGCACCAUACUGAGACCAGAGCUACUUCUGCAGUGUGCCCUGCUCUGAGGGCCAGUAGCCACUUCACCUCUCCAGCACUUGGGCUCCAUCUUCAUUCCACCAAGCCCAUAUGGGAAGCUGAACACCUCAAUCCCAGAUUCGUAAAGCAUGGGCCAAGGAUGGGCUGUGGCUCUGGUCCUGUUCUGUUCAGGGUGAACCUGCCCUUGAGCUGGCCAAACUGCUGCAUACCCUCCCCAAAGCAGGAGAGGCCCCCAAGCCUGUGAGCAGCUGAUAUGCUCCAGGGCCAGUGAAGUGGCUAUGUGCUUGCACCCAGGAACUGAGAAACAGUCCCACAGCACACCUGCACCCUCCAGAGAGAGCCCUGGCCUGCCCCAGUGGCCCUGUAUCCCCAUUCAGGGCCUGAGAAACAAUUCCUCAGGCCACUCUUGGCAGGUAUGAUACUAAGCUGACCAAAUAGCCAAAAACACCUAUCCCAGACCUGAGUAUCAGCCCUGUGGGCCAAUCCAGGUGGACAUGCCCCAGGCUGGCCAAGCAGCCAUGUACCCACAUUCCGGGCCUGAGAAACAGUUUUUUGGGCUGCUGUUGGUGAGGACACCCCUGAGCCAACCAAGCAUCCUUGCAAUUGUGUUUCAGACCUAAGAAGCAUCAUGACCUGAGAAACAGUUUCACAGGCCACUCUUGGCAGGUAUGAUCCCAGGCUGGCCAUACAGCCAAAAGCCCACAUCCUACAUCUGAGUAACAGCCCAGGCUGACAUGACCCCAGGGCAGACAUGACCCCAGGCUGGCUGCCUAUUGAGUAAUUUCUUACGUUUUGCCUCCUCACAAAUGAAAUGCUAUCAUUUGUGAAAAUAUAAAUAGAAUUGGAGGAUAUUAUGUUAAGUGAAAUAAACCAUGAACAGAAAGUUAAACACUACAUGUUCUCAUUCAUAUUUGGAAGGUAAGAAAACGUUGAACUCAUAGAAGUAAAAUAGAACAGAGGAUACCUGAUGCUGGGAAAACUUGGGGGAAGGGAAGGAUAGGAAGGGAUUUGUUAAAGAAUAUAAAAGUUAAACUGGAUGAAAGGAAGUUCUUGUGUUCUCUACCACUGUAGGAUGACUAUAGUUAACAAUAAUAUAUCAUGUAGUUUAAAUAGCUAGAAGGAGGAUAUUGAAUGUUCCUAAUACAAAGAAAUGAUAAAAAUUUGAGAUGAUGGAUAUGCUAAUUAUGCUGAUCUGAUCACUGUCUAUUUAUCAACACCUCAUUAUAUAUCCUAAGAAUAUGUACAAUAACUAUUUGUCAAUCUAAAAAAUUAGAUAAAAAUUGUUUUGUCUUUUCUGGGUACUUUACAUGUUCAUAUAUAUUUUUGAGUCAGCUUGUCAAUUUCUACAACAAAAGCUUGUUGGGAUUUUGAUUGAGAUUAUGCUGAAUUUAUAACUUGUGAAGAAUUGAUUUCUUUACAAUAUUGGACCUUCCAAUACAUGAACAUAGUAUAUGUCUCCAUUUGUUUAGGUGUUCUUUAAUUUUUUUAAACAAUGUUUUGAAAUUUCCAGGAUUUUUCACUGAUUUAGUUAAAUUGAUCCUUAAAUAUUUAGCUUUUGAUGCUGUUAUUUUUAUUGAAAAUUUCUAAUUGUUACAUUCUAAUACAUGAAAACAGUAUAUAUCGUGAA